UAUAUACUCCCUCCGUCCCGAAUUAAUUGUCUUAGAUUUGUCUAAAAAAGUGUUCGGUACAUCCGUAUCUAGACAAAUCUAAGACAACUAAUUUGGGACGGAGGUAAUACAUG
rfam:Triticum aestivum genome assembly, contig: Triticum_aestivum_CS42_TGACv1_scaffold_624596_7DS